AUCGGUACGAAAGUACCGAUAGAAACGUGCGGCGACCCAGACUCACGGUGACCCGCAUAAGUCCUGUAUGCACCCGAGCCAAACUCACGGCAAGGGAGCCGAUUACACAAUACAAGGAG
rnacentral:ncRNA from 1 species